rnacentral:rRNA from 1 species
UACGUAGGGUGCGAGCGUUGUCCGGAAUUAUUGGGCGUAAAGAGCUCGUAGGCGGUGUGUCACGUCGUUCGUGAAAACCUGCAGCUUAACUGUGGGCGUGCGGUCGAUACGGGCAUCACUGGAGUUCGGCAGGGGAGACUGGAAUUCCUGGGGUAGCGGUGAAAUGCGCAGAUAUCAGGAGGAACACCGGUGGCGAAGGCGGGUCUCUGGGCCGAUACUGACGCUGAGGAGCGAAAGCGUGGGGAGCGAACAGG